rnacentral:rRNA from 1 species
UACGAAGGGGGCUAGCGUUGUUCGGAAUUACUGGGCGUAAAGCGUGCGCAGGCGGCUUCUCAAGUCAGGGGUGAAAGCCCAGAGCUCAACUCUGGAAUUGCCUUUGAGACUGAGUGGCUUGAGUACGAGAGAGGUGAGUGGAACUGCGAGUGUAGAGGUGAAAUUCGUAGAUAUUCGCAAGAACACCAGUGGCGAAGGCGGCUCACUGGCCCGGUACUGACGCUGAGGUGCGAAAGCGUGGGGAGCAAACAGG